rnacentral:lncRNA from 1 species
CAAUAUUCGUAACGUCAGCGGCAUAAUGGUGAGAAAUAUUUUCUAACAAUGUUAACUUUUUUAUCGCACUAUGUUUGUAAAAAAUAUGUUUCAUGAUAAACGAAGUUUAUGAAUUUCCUCUCAUGUUUCUUUUGUUUGAAUAACCAAUGAAGUUUUACUAGAGGGUGGAGGGAGCAGGAACAUCUUAACAUUGUUCUCUUGAGCAACACAACAAUGGUAAAACGAAUCUUCUUGAGCAACUCUCUUUGGAAACUAUAAAUCAUUUUUGGUACAAGUUAUUUAUGAACAAAACGUAAUUUGUUUUUAAUGCAUUAUUUCCCCUGUUUAUUACAACUGUAGAAGUUAUUUAUGAUUUGAGUUAAUGAACUUUCGAUUUUAUAUUUAUUUUAUUGUUGAAUGAUGAAAGAGGUGUACCAAAUAAGCAUAUCUAGAAGUAUAUAUAUAUAUAUAUAUAUAAAUUGUGCUCACAAGGGUAGAACCAAUCUCACUUAUAUGGAACUUUGACUAGUUAAUUUUUUUCUCGCAUUAUGGUUACAAGGUCAAUACUAAUUCAAAAAAAAGUUUAUGAAAACUCUCUCAUGUGUCUUUUGCCGUUGACCAAUUGAUGAAGUAUGGCAAGUAAUGCUAUCGGAGCAUCUUGAAGAAUUUAUUCUAGUAGAAGGUCCAACUCAGCUUCCUUGAGGCAUUCCACAAAAGGGUAGAAUCGAAUAGAAAAUGUGAUAAUUUACAAACAUUGCUCUCUUUGUAAAAUAGACCUUCUUAUUCUUAUGACUAAUACGAAAAAAAUAAAAAAAUCACAUCCUUCUUUUUAAAAAAUAGGAAUUUAUUCCAAGAAUAUUUGUAAUAUCCCUCUUUGAAUAUGGAUCCAAGGACUCCAAUUUGUUAUCCCUAAUAUGACAUGGCCAACUAAAGAAACAUUAUAAUUUCGCUUGUGACUUAAGUAAAUCCAUUGGACAUAUGCAAAAUUGAUUAUAUAUCCGAUGGUUUGAGUUGAAUCCUACCACAUGGAUGUUGUAGGAUGGCGUUGGGUGGUUUGGAGGAGUCUAUUACGUAUUGGAGCCUAAUGUCGCUUAUUUUUAUUGGAUUUAAUCAACUUUGACAUUUGGUGAAGUGUGAUUGAAUACUCAGUAUCGUACUUCUCUGAUAGUCAUCUUGGAUUGAAACUAACUACACCUAGUUUCUCCAUAUAACCCAUUCAAUUAUAUUGAGUGUUGUUAUCAAGAUUGCUAGGUGCAAAAAGUUGGUUGCCAUUCCUUUAGUCCGAGGCGCAAGCCGCUAGCCUAGAUGCUAGCGGUAGCCGAAUGAGGUGCAACAUUAUAUAUUUUAUGGUCUAUAUAGGUAGAAACUAUUCGCUUCAGUUUCUUUGGUUGUCCAUUGUUUUUUUUCUAGCUAUAGUAGCUUCUCUCUUGUUCUUCAUAUUUUCUAUAUCAGUCACAUCACCUAUGUUUUUUGAUUAGAUGUUGUAACUAGUCUAUUUGGUUUAGAUUUUGGCAUUGAUACCGACCAAAUAGAACUGGAUGAUUUGUCUAGAGUGUUUAGCCCUGGAUGUAACUACAUAUGGAUAAACCUUGGAUAGAGGGCCCACCAUAAAAUCCAUGGAAACGGCUUCAGACCAUGAUGCAUACUGCAUAGGUGAUGACAGUCCAGAAUUAUAUCCUCUUCAAGUAGGAAAAAAAUAUAAACAUUGGAUGGGGACCGCACCAAAAAAUCCAUGGAAAUUACUUCAGGCAUGGAUGCAUACCGCCUAUUUAACACCUGUCCAGAUUUUUGACCGUUCAAGUAGAAAAAUAAAAUAAACUCUGGAUGGAGGCGCACCACAAAAUGUAUAGAAAAUUCUUUAGGUCUGGAUGCAUCCAACCCUUGAACUCGACAAACAAAAAUAAACAUUUGGAAAUAGGGAGUACCAUAAAAUCCAUUGUAAUUGCUUCAGGCCUGGAUGCAUAUGAUGACUGUCCAGAUAUUUGGCCCAUUAAAGUCAGCAAACAUAGUCAACUUCGGAAGGAGGGCGUACUACAAGAGCCACGGAAACUGGUUGAGGCAUGGAACAUACUGUUUACAUGACGACUAGCCAAAUUUUAUUCAAGGGGUCGAACUGAAUAAACUUUGCAUUAAAACUACUUAAGAUCGGGAUGCCUAUUGUUUAGAUAUUCAUUCUUUCAAAAAUUAUUGGAUUUUACUAAGAGAAACAUUAUAUCGUGUAGUAAAAAGUAAGAGAAAUUCAUGUUCAUGUUGUCCAACCACAUAGUUUACAAAUGAUAAUAACAUGAUUUUUAUAUUUUCUAAAUACAUAAUUAAUUUGAAAUAGAAAAAGCAAGAGAAAUUCAUGUUUCAUGUUUCGUAACCACACAUCUUACUUCUCAUAUUUUACUAUUAGGUUACUUUUUCACGUGCAUCAAAUGCGAAUAUUACCUUAUGUACCAAGAAAAAGAUUAUUCAUUUUUCCUUAUCCAUCCAUUACCAUCGACGCCACUACAAAGAAUCGAAAUCAAAUACAACAAGAUCUCCUAAAAUUAUUAAUUAAAAAUAACAUUUAAUAGGAUAAUUAAUUUUUCGGUAUGUAAUAAUAACGCAUGGCCAUUAGGCUGAGUAAGAAUACAAAUGUAUUUAACAUUUUUUUUGAUUGUACAAUAAAUUUGUGUAGACGGUUCACCCUUAUAGUUUGAGAUAGUUUAUAUGCGUCCGUCCAAUUUGAAUAUUUUUCGAAGAUAAAUAUACAUAUAUUAAAUAUGUUAGUGUUGGAUAAAUCAGCUAACCGGAGUCUCAUAAUUCAGUUUUGUUAAACAAGGAGUACUUAAGGAUGGUGUAUCUCAUCUACUUAUAUUUGCUUUAGAAUCCGUUAAUUAGAUACCUUGUGCCAUUUAAAAAUAAUAUUAAAAAAAAAUAUUAAGAAAACAAUACAAAUCGCAUUUGUUAUUUCAAAAUCAAUUUUACAAUAAGAUAAUACUUGGGUUAUUGACACACAAAUCCAAAUCACAAAUACAAGCCCAGUGGGCUUUGCAUUUCUCUUAAUGUACCGCCACAUUCCUAGGUUACUACGACACUCUCACUAUAUAUUAAGAAAAAACGACUAUAAAAAAUCUCUCCGUCUCUACGCCGAUAUAGUGCCCAAAAUGCUGAAAUCAAUGGAUUCAUUCAAAGAUCUCCAAUGCCAGAGGCCGCCUCACGAACCUCCGCCGCAAAGGUAUUUUCCCUAAUUCCAAAAUAAAGUUUUUUUCGAUUAGAUUGCAUGCAAAGUUGAUUUGAGUAUAAAAUUUAUUGUUCUAGAGAUGAUAGGUUUAAUUUGGAGAAACAAAUUUAAGAUAUUCUUUGUUCUCCAUGUUUGGUUUGUAUGGCAAAUUUAUGUUUUUCGUACUGCAUUGAUUUGCAUUGAUUCAGAUUUUUAUGAAUCAAACAUUUAUGUACACUAGACUUUGAUUCAUAUCCUUUUUUUUUAAUCAAACAUUUAUAUACGUUAAGAUAUUUUGUAUUUCUCUCUUUGAUUCAUAAAAAAAAAAGAUCGUUGAUUCAGAUCUGCGUCGCAUUACGCUUCUUUUUCUCUUUGAAACCUUUAAAACGAUAUUACUUUGUUUUGGGGGUGCUGAGAUUUAACUAGAUCUCGGUAUCUGAAUUUUGUAAUUUUGGUUUUUUUUUACUGAAUGUUUGUUUAAUCCUAUAUUUAAUUGGAGGAUUAAGAUAUAUUACUAUUUUACCUUAUUUUUUACAGUAAGAUUAUUUUUGAAUAUAACCAUUUCGAUUUCUCCGUGUAACUAUGUAACCACAUGCCAAAUGAACAUUUCUUUGGUAGUUGUUGUUAUAAAGUUAGAUAUGAUCAAAGUUUACUAACUAUCUCUUUUCUUUUUAUUUUGUUGUUGAUAGAGAGAUGUAGAUUCAUCAGAGAUGCAUUUCGAACAAUAUUCGUAACGUCAGCGGCAUAAUGGUAAGAAAUAUUUUCUAACAAAGUUAACUUUUUUCUCGCACAAUGUUUCUCAAAAUAUGUAUCACGAUAAACGAAGUUUAUGAAUUUCCUCUCAUGUUUCUUUUGUUAUUGACUAACCAAUGAAGUUUUACCGGAGGGUAGAGGCAGCAUGAACAUCUUAACAGUGUUCUCGUGAGCGACGCAACAAUGGUAAAACGAAUCUUCUUGAGCAACUCUCUUUGGAAAGUAUAAAUCAUGUUUGGUACAAGUUAUUUAUGAACAAAACUUAAUUUAUUUAUGAUGAACUAUUUUCCUUGUUUUGUACGAUGUAGAAGUCAAUUAUGAUUUGAGUUAAUGAACUUUCGAUUUUAUUCUUAUUUUAUUGUUGAAUGAUGAAAGAGGUGUACCAAAUAAGCAUAUCUAG